rnacentral:rRNA from 1 species
UACGUAGGGGGCAAGCGUUGUCCGGAUUUAUUGGGCGUAAAGAGCGUGUAGGCGGCCAAGCAGGUCCGCUGUGAAAACUCGAGGCUCAACCUCGAGAGGUCGGUGGAAACCGUUUGGCUAGAGUCCGGAAGAGGAGAGUGGAAUUCCUGGUGUAGCGGUGAAAUGCGCAGAUAUCAGGAGGAACACCGGUGGCGAAGGCGGGUCUCUGGGCCGUAACUGACGCUGAGGAGCGAAAGCAUGGGGAGCGAACAGG